AUUGAACGCUGGCGGCAUGCCUUACACAUGCAAGUCGAACGGCAGCACGGGAGCAAUCCUGGUGGCGAGUGGCGAACGGGUGAGUAAUAUAUCGGAACGUGCCCAGUCGUGGGGGAUAACGUAGCGAAAGCUACGCUAAUACCGCAUACGAUCUAUGGAUGAAAGCGGGGGAUCGCAAGACCUCGCGCGAUUGGAGCGGCCGAUAUCAGAUUAGGUAGUUGGUGGGGUAAAAGCCUACCAAGCCUUCGAUCUGUAGCUGGUCUGAGAGGACGACCAGCCACACUGGGACUGAGACACGGCCCAGACUCCUACGGGAGGCAGCAGUGGGGAAUUUUGGACAAUGGGCGCAAGCCUGAUCCAGCCAUGCCGCGUGCAGGAUGAAGGCCUUCGGGUUGUAAACUGCUUUUGUACGGAACGAAAAGACUCUCUCUAAUACAGGGGU
rnacentral:rRNA from 1 species